UCACCUCACAUAGGGGCCUCUCUUACCUCAUUCACCCCCUCAACCUAAAACACCUGCCCGGAACCUUCUCCCAGAUCAGACAGCCCAACGUUUCUGCUCAGCACUCAUUGCCAGCUGGUGUUUUCAUUUGCAACUUGUUUUUUUGUCUUUCUCCUCACUGGACUAUAAACCCCAGGGAUAAUUAAGACUCCCCAGAGCCUAGACCAGUGCCUGGCACCCGGCAGAGGCUUAGCACAUAUUUACUGGAUGAUGGAAGAAUGAAUGGCCCCAGGGGAAGGAGGCCAGGAGACGGGCUAGGACGUGCACAGCUAUUUCGGGCUACAUGACAGCAGUGCUGGGGACGGGGAGAAGCAGGAAACAUGAAAGAAAGGAAGGAGAGAAAGAGAUGAUCAGUCAAGAUGAGUUCACAAUGACCAGAUGGCUCCUUACAAGAAAACAGAGACACGUUGAAGGAAGAUGACCACGUGACAGUGGAGGCAGGGACCGGGUUAUAUCGCCACAUUAUAUUGGGUGACAAAGGAUGUUAGCAGUCAUCUGCCACUGGGAGAGAUGACAGAGAACUCUUCCUUACAUCCUCUGAGGGGAGCCUGGCCCUGCUGCCCUGGACCUCAGAUGUCCAUUUCUGCCAUUUAUGCUUUCACCAUAAUAUUUGACUCCAGGAUUUUUAUUGAUAAAAUCAAUUAAGAUUAUGCUUCACCCCACAAUCUGUGAUGUGGACCCCACACUGAACAGGAAGGAGUGAGGAGACAUGGAACAAGACACUGGCUGGACUUCAGAGGGAGACGUCUCUUACCACUCAGCUCCAAGACCCUUGUGUAAGACUGACUCAAACAAAUCCUGCUGCCACCUGUGUCCCCAAGGUUACUGCUCUACACAAAGCAUUCAGAGACCCAAAUACUUAACAAAGCCCACUCCAGAUAGACUUGGGAAGCUCCCACUGUCGCUGGCUAGUUCUGAUGUCAGUAAAACUAUGGUGACCCUAGAGGAGGAACAAGAUGAUCCUGGGCUUCCAGGCUUUAACCAGACUAGCAUUCAGAGCUGUUAUCUAAGU